rnacentral:rRNA from 1 species
CCGGAGCUUGCUCCACCGGAAAAAGANGAGUGGCGAACGGGUGAGUAACACGUGGGUAACCUGCCCAUCAGAAGGGGAUAACACUUGGAAACAGGUGCUAAUACCGUAUAACAAUCGAAACCGCAUGGUUUUGAUUUGAAAGGCGCUUUCGGGUGUCGCUGAUGGAUGGACCCGCGGUGCAUUAGCUAGUUGGUGAGGUAACGGCUCACCAAGGCCACGAUGCAUAGCCGACCUGAGAGGGUGAUCGGCCACAUUGGGACUGAGACACGGCCCAAACUCCUACGGGAGGCAGCAGUAGGGAAUCUUCGGCAAUGGACGAAAGUCUGACCGAGCAACGCCGCGUGAGUGAAGAAGGUUUUCGGAUCGUAAAACUCUGUUGUUAGAGAAGAACAAGGAUGAGAGUAACUGUUCAUCCCUUGACGGUAUCUAACCAGAAAGCCACGGCUAACUACGUGCCAGCAGCCGCGGUAAUACGUAGGUGGCAAGCGUUGUCCGGAUUUAUUGGGCGUAAAGCGAGCGCAGGCGGUUUCUUAAGUCUGAUGUGAAAGCCCCCGGCUCAACCGGGGAGGGUCAUUGGAAACUGGGAGACUUGAGUGCAGAAGAGGAGAGUGGAAUUCCAUGUGUAGCGGUGAAAUGCGUAGAUAUAUGGAGGAACACCAGUGGCGAA